AGAGUUUGAUCCUGGCUCAGGAUGAACGCUAGCGGCAGGCCUAAUACAUGCAAGUCGGACGGGAUAGGAGAGCUUGCUUUCCUUGAGAGUGGCGCACGGGUGCGUAACACGUAUGUAACCUACCUUUAUCAGGGGGAUAGCCUCUCGAAAGAGAGAUUAAGCCCGCAUAACAUGAAGACACAGCAUUGUGAUUUCAUCAAAUAUUUAUAGGAUAAAGAUGGGCAUGCGGAACAUUAGCUAGUUGGUAAGGCAACGGCUUACCAAGGCUACGAUGUUUAGGGGAUCUGAGAGGAUGACCCCCCACACUGGUACUGAGACACGGACCAGACUCCUACGGGAGGCAGCAGUAAGGAAUAUUGGUCAAUGGGCGCAAGCCUGAACCAGCCAUGCCGCGUGCAGGAAGACGGCCCUACGGGUUGUAAACUGCUUUUGCAGGGGAAUAAACCUCAUUACGAGUAAUGAGUUGAAUGUACUCUGAGAAUAAGGAUCGGCUAACUCCGUGCCAGCAGCCGCGGUAAUACGGAGGAUCCAAGCGUUAUCCGGAUUUAUUGGGUUUAAAGGGUGCGUAGGCGGCCUAUUAAGUCAGGGGUGAAAGACGGUAGCUUAACUAUCGCAGUGCCUUUGAUACUGAUGGGCCUGAAUAUACUAGAGGUAGGCGGAAUGUGACAAGUAGCGGUGAAAUGCAUAGAUAUGUCACAGAACACCAAUUGCGAAGGCAGCUUACUAUGGUAUGAUUGACGCUGAGGCACGAAAGCGUGGGGAUCAAACAGGAUUAGAUACCCUGGUAGUCCACGCCCUAAACGAUGAAUACUCGAUGUUAGCGAUAUACAGUUAGCGUCAAAGCGAAAGCGUUAAGUAUUCCACCUGGGGAGUACGCCCGCAAGGGUGAAACUCAAAGGAAUUGACGGG
rnacentral:rRNA from 1 species